ACAAAAAUUAAAGAGAAAGGCCAGGAGACUUGAAUUCCCUGUGUCCAUUAGUUUGAGAUUAAGCAGCUUCUCUUGGGAAAUAAAAAGGCAUUUCAUCACAAACAAUGGGGCCCGAUCAGAUGACACCUAACCUGCCAUUCGUUAUAACCCCAAGUCAAGCAGCUGGAACAAAAGCUCUAUUGCUCGUGUAACACAAACCCCCAAAAGUCUAUCUCGAACUUGGUCUGUUCUUUUGGAAUCUGAGUUUCCUUCAAGGUCAUAUAAAAGCAAAACACCAUUGUGUUGAAACAAGUUUUUAGUCACUUACAACAGAUUUAAACUUGCAAGCAAAGUUCAAGGCAACUCUUUCCUGUCGUCACCAGGACUCAAGUGCUUUCCUUAAAACAGCACCAAAAACAAAAGGCACGGGGGCUCCUCCGAAAAUAUUCUACCGAGCAAAACAAAAAACCCAAAUGGAGAUGGUACAAAGGUUCCAGACUUUCACAAUAUUCUUACUCUGUCCCUAGUUGACCAUGUGCCUUCCCGACUUCCUGUUAAUUGGUCUCAUACUCUCCUUUUUAUUCCAAAGCACGGGGUGUCCUAAAAUUCCAGUGUUACCCUGGUCUCACAGGAAAGCAAGCAAGGGGCCUAGAGCUCUGGUCCUGAGGGGGUGACCCGCAUUCUGAGAGUCCAGGAGGAGUAACGACGCCCCCACGAGCCCCUGUCUCUUCUUCCUCACUCUUUGCAUAUUUCUUCCCAGUAGUUACUCUGUGUGUGUGUGUGUCCAUGUCUGUGUGUCCAUGUCUGUCAGAAGGACAGACAGAAACAGCUCAAAGGAAGCAUGAAGCAAUGAAUGAGACUUACAUGUGGUUAUGGUGAAACUCCACAAUUUUGUCUUCCAGCGCAUCUUGCUGAGAGUAAAAUUGCCACCCUCCACCACAGAAAACAGCCCAGAAGUGUGGGGACCUGUCUGGCCACAUUGCCAUCCUCUUUGGUUACCUUGAUGCUGGUGGCACCGACUUUCCUGCAAUUCUUUCUAUCUGCCCUCAAGAAAGUACAGUCCAUUCUCAUUAUUCAUGGCAAACAUCAUAUUUUAUGGACAUCGUUGAUUCAUUAACAUCGAACUCACGGCCAAAAGCACUAUAAUUCAUGCCUGAAGGAAGCGUAUCUAGCACGCGUGUUUAUUUUCUCCAUAAGGUACAUCACAGCCUUGUUGCACUUAGCAACACCAGACAGCACUUCAACACGAUGCUUGGGGACCAUUUUAAAGAGGGGAAUCACCAGAAAAAAGCACAGAAAUGCAGACAGAGCGGCACUAAAUAGACCAUGAAAAGGACACUCGCUUAUAGUAUGAGAGCAGAAACAAGAAGGCAGAGCGUCGCCUUGUUCGACCUCAGCUGGAAAUGUGAGCACGGGGUGACUCAAAUUUUCCACCAUCUUGUGCAUGCCUGCAAACGACCACGAAAUCACCACAAGCAGCGAUUUUGGGGUUACAAACAAAUUUUAUAGCGUAGGCAAAUUUGCAAAUACAGAAUCCGUGAAUAAUGAAGAUUGACUGCAUAUGGAGACUCACCCAAAUCCUAAAUUUCUUGUGAGCUUUAAGUUUGGGCUUCUUAACUCAUAUGAAUUUUAUAAGACACUCUUUUCCAUAAUUCAAUAUAAAAGAGUUAAGAAUCCUAGUUUUUGCUUUGGCAUCGUGGUCAGUGCACCUAAGUGUCUUUUCUUCUAAGUCACCUGACUUUCCCUGCUCUCCUAAAAUGCAAUGGCAAUAUGUGACUAUGAAAUUCAUUUUCUCUCCAUGUGUUUUUUUUUUUUUUGAGGAAGAUUAGCCCUGAGCUAACAUCUGCUGCCAAUUCUCCUCUUUUUGCUG